AUCUCUGACAUUUCAAGCCAUCUGAAGUCCAAGGAGAAAAGCUAGGGGCUGUCGUCUUCAUCAUCCUUCUCCAAUUACUCAGCCUGUCUUGAGCACCUGCCGUGGUCUGUCUUGGAUGCUGGGACACAGAGAGGUGCGAGUAUAGCUGGAAAACAGAAGUAACACUGCCUCUCCUCUCAAGGAAGACUACGCACCCACCUUUCAGGAGGGAGUCUCCUAUA